AAGACAACUGUGCAGAACACGCCUGCUACACAUCCUCACGUACGUUCUCCUGUAUCAGCGUCCAGAACCCGCGGCCCCCUGCCCGUCGCUAAGGUCUCUUGCGCCCAUUUGGUUUCACGAAGACUGCGAUCAGCCAAAGAAAACCAAAACGAAACCGUCACCGUUCUCGGGCAGCGGGUAACACUCAUGAUCGACCACGGGAUAUGCGAUAUCCCGGAGAGAAAAACCGGCAAGCUCGUGGAAGAGAUCAACGAUGAAGAAGCCUGAGCGUGGGCUACCAGAACAAGGACGAGCACAAGAGAGAGAGCUCUUCGACCGACGGCCACAAGCCGAGACAAGUUAGGACGCAUCUGAAAACGGACUGCGCAAUCUGCCGUCCACUUUCCAUCCCACAUAGCGCAUUUUCUUCCUUGAUGAUCUAAUGGUCCCUGGGGAAAAAAGCUGCUCGCUUAAUGACUCUGUCCGACCGAAGGCAGAAUACGCCAAAGGCAAAAGAAUGCAUCCGCGGCGGAAGAAAGAAGCCAUUGUGAGGAAUGCACGUGGAGAAAAUGACAGACGUGACUGUUGCUCCGCGUGCUUUUGUCUCCAAUAUAUACCGUCAGCCCGUGUAUUUCUCCGGGUAGAUGGAUACCUUUCGGCUCGCACAGCUAUAUAGUUUGUGCUGAGGUUAUUCGGGACUGUGCAUUUUCGUAGGAGGAAAUGGUGAGUCGCUCUUUGCGUUGUCCGUCGAAUGAGGGGCGUUUGGGUAAAGAAAUUUUCGAAAAAUAAAUCGCACCAAAUUGC